rnacentral:lncRNA from 1 species
AGGAACCGGAUCGUGUUGACCGACUUGUCCACCAGCGACUCAUCAGUGGUCACCUUCUUCGCAGUCUCCGCCGCAACGGAGGCUUUGACGGCGGCGGGAAGGCGGCGGUGAGUGGUUGGAGUGUGGGAGAGGGAGAGGGAGAGGGUGGUGGAUUGGCGGAGGCCGGAGAAGGCGGGGAGGGAGAGGCGCGUGGAGGAGGGGAGGGAAGAGGGGCGCGUGAGGAGGGCUUGGGAGAGAGAGAGGGAGGGGGAGGUUGAGGUAGAAGCCAUGGUUGGUGAAGUGAGAGAGAGAGUGAGAAGAAGAAGAAGAAGAAG